UGCAUCCACUACUGUAAGUUGCUCUGGAUAAGAGUGUCUGCUAAAUGACUAAAA
rfam:Salmo salar isolate Sally breed double haploid chromosome ssa09, whole genome shotgun sequence.